AUUCGUCACACUAUCAUUAACUGAAUCCAUAGGUUAAUGAGGCGAACCGGGGGAACUGAAACAUCUAAGUACCCCGAGGAAAAGAAAUCAACCGAGAUUCCCCCAGUAGCGGCGAGCGAACGGGGAGGAGCCCAGAGCCUGAAUCAGUGUGUGUGUUAGUGGAAGCGUCUGGAAAGGCGCGCGAUACAGGGUGACAGCCCCGUACACAAAAAUGCACAUGCUGUGAGCUCGAUGAGUAGGGCGGGACACGUGGUAUCCUGUCUGAAUAUGGGGGGACCAUCCUCCAAGGCUAAAUACUCCUGACUGA
rnacentral:rRNA from 1 species